rnacentral:rRNA from 1 species
UACAGAGGUCUCAAGCGUUGUUCGGAAUCACUGGGCGUAAAGGGUGCGUAGGCGGCGGAGUAAGUCGGAUGUGUAAUUUGGAGGCUCAACCUCCAACUUGCAUCUGAUACUGCUUCGCUAGAGACCUGGAGAGGAGUUUGGAAUUCUCGGUGUAGCAGUGAAAUGCGUAGAGAUGUGGAGGAAUACCGAUGGCGAAGGCAGCCUCCUGGGCCAACGCUGACGCUCAUGCACGAAAGCGUGGGGAGCAAACAGG